GAUGAACGCUGGCGGCGUGCCUAAUACAUGCAAGUCGAGCGAACGGACGAUAAGCUUGCUUCUCUGAUGUUAGCGGCGGACGGGUGAGUAACACGUGGAUAACCUACCUAUAAGACUGGGAUAACUUCGGGAAACCGGAGCUAAUACCGGAUAAUAUUUUGAACCGCAUGGUUCAAAAGUGAAAGACGGUCUUGCUGUCACUUAUAGAUGGAUCCGCGCUGCAUUAUCUAGUUGGUAAGGUAACGGCUUACCAAGGCAACGAUGCAUAGCCGACCUGAGAGGGUGAUCGGCCACACUGGAACUGAGACACGGUCCAGACUCCUAAGGGAGGCAGCAGUAGGGAAUGUUAGGCAAUGGGCGAAAGCAUGACGGAGCAAGGCCGCGUGAGUGAUGAAGGUCUUCGGAUCGUAAAAAUCUGUUAUUAGGGAAGAACAUAUGUGUAAGGAAAUGUGCACAGCUUGACGGUACCUAAUCAGAAAGCAACGGCUAACUACGUG
rnacentral:rRNA from 1 species